AGUUUUUGGGCUCCUCUGUCUCUUGGCACACUCACGUUUGAAAGCCAAGCAGUCAGAACAACAUGAAGAGGCUGUGUGCAGCUCCAUCAGGAGACCAUCUCAGUCACGACCCCGUGGCUUCUCACACAUCGCCUCCAAUGACAACACUUGUUCUCCCUGUCAUCAACCCACAUGGGCAUUCUAAGGAGGAACCCUCAUGAAAUGGGAACAGCAUGCAAGUGAGCCUCACCUUCUGAAAGGACACCCAUACCUGAGCCAUCUCUGUCUGAGCACACAGCCAUGUUACCCUACAUACCUUUGGAAGGAACUUCUCAUGGACCCCUUUGUCAUGCUAUGGCCCUCACACCUUUGGCUGGCCUCAAUAACGAUUGUCCUUGUGGCCAGCUAAGGUGCCUCUUGAUCUCCGAGUCAAAGCCCCACAGCUCUUUACCCAGAAUCUCU